rnacentral:ncRNA from 2 species
UUCUUAUCAAGAGUGGUGGAGGGACGAGCCCGUUGAAACCCAGCAACAGCUAAUUAUCAUAUAUAAUUAGAAUUGUGCUAAAUCUUGCAGGAUAAAACCUGAGGGAUAAGGA